rnacentral:rRNA from 1 species
UUCGGAUGGAUUUAAAACAGCUUAGUGGCGGACGGGCGAGUAACGCGUGGGUAACCUGCCUCACACUGGGGGAUAACAGUUAGAAAUAGCUGCUAAUACCGCAUAAGCGCACGGUGUCGCAUGACACAGUGUGAAAACACUCCGGUGGUGUGAGAUGGACCCGCGUCUGAUUAGCUAGUUGGCAGGGCAACGGCCUACCAAGGCGACGAUCAGUAGCCGACCUGAGAGGGUGACCGGCCACAUUGGGACUGAGACACGGCCCAAACUCC